UACGUAGGGGGCAAGCGUUGUCCGGAAUCAUUGGGCGUAAAGCGCGUGUAGGCGGCUCAGUAAGUCCGCUCUGAAAGCCCGGGGCUUAACCCCGGGAGGCGGGUGGAUACUGCUGAGCUGGAGUCCGGAAGAGGCGAGUGGAAUUCCCGGUGUAGCGGUGAAAUGCGCAGAUAUCGGGAAGAACACCCGUGGCGAAGGCGGUUCUCUGGGACGGUACUGACGCUGAGACGCGAAAGCGUGGGGAGCGAACAGG
rnacentral:rRNA from 1 species